rnacentral:rRNA from 1 species
UGAGGAAUAUUGGGCAAUGCCCGCAAGGGUGACCCAGCAACGCCGCGUGGAGGAUGAAUGUCGUAAGAUUGUAAACUCCUGUUAGAGGGGAAGAAUAGUACCGGUUGGACCGGUAUAUGACUGUACCCUCAGAGAAAGCCCCGGCUAACUACGUGCCAGCAGCCGCGGUAAUACGUAGGGGGCAAGCGUUGUCCGGAUUUACUGGGUGUAAAGGGCGCGCAGGCGGGAUAAAAAGUCAGUGGUGAAAUCCUACAGCUUAACUGUAGAACUGCCUUUGAUACUUUUAUGCUUUAGUUCGGGAGAGAGAGACGGAAUUCCAGGUGUAGUGGUGAAAUACGUAGAUAUCUGGAAGAACACCAGUUGCGAAGGCGGUCUCUUGGUCCGACACUGACGCUGAGGCGCGAAAGCGUGGGGAGCAAACA